UAGGGAGAGGGUCUUGUAUGGGUGGGAGGACCUGUUUAACAGCGACAAGUAAAUAGGAGGGGAGGCCACUUCUCCAGCAUUUGCAUUUUGCUAGCCAGCUCUUUCCCAUCUCCCUUCUUCCCCCGCAUUUGGAUGGAAACAUGAACCACAGUCCUCCUCCAGUUACUCACUCUGAUGACAAACAAGGCGCCCUCCAAUGCAAUAUCCUUCAGCAGCUGUCCGCCCUCUCGCUGGAACGUGCUUUCCAACAUCUGGAUUUGCUCAGCUGCCUCUGAGGCCCAGGCACCUUUGGGCAGUGCUGGCUCGGUGGAGGAGGGAGGCCCAGAGGAGCCAGCCUGGGGACUGGAACCACGUGACCGAGUCACUCCCUGCGCCCCUUCAGGCAGGGACGGGAGUGAAAGGACCUGUGACCUUGAUGUAAAGCAUCAUUUCCAUUCAAGCCAGGGCUUUGAUCCAAGAGAAGUGAGCAUGAGGCAUGAGUGCUGUGACCCGGAACCACACCAUCAGAAGAACACCGUCAAGGCGGCUGGUCGUCAAGCUCCACUUUGCGGGAAAGACUGCAGCCGUCAUUUUCCGCAGCUCCCCAAGGCUGCACUUGAUUGGACCAGUGUGAGCACCUGACCCAGGGUGGGCCAAUCAAAUCCCCUGUUUUUGGAACUUCAAAAUGGUGCCUCUGAGAGGUAAGAGCUUGCUCAGAGCAGCCUCUCCAGUGCCCCUCCAUUAUGCACCUUAAACGUUUACUUUCCCUUUGUUCUUUAUUUGUUUUGGGACCGGAUCGUGCUCUGUGAUUGAAGCUGACCUCAAUUCCAUAAGUAGCCUAAGGUGGCCUCAAACUCAGGAUCCUCCUGCCUCGUCCUUCCAAGUGCUAGGAUUACAGACGUGCGUGACUGUACCAGGAUCUGCUUUCCAUAAGGGGCCCAGAUCGAAGGAAGCUUCCCCUGGGACGCCCUCUACAACUACACCUCCCAUAACUCAUUUCCGAGGUGUUCUGUCCCAGCACCCGGCUCCCAACAACUGCACUAUGAGGACACCACACUGCGUGUUAAGUAAUCACAGGAGUGGUCUUCCCGCCUGGAGGAGGGAUCUCUGAAACCGAGGUCUGGGCUUCCUCCUCUCUCUCUUCUGCGUUAGUCCUGGGCAGAUGGUCGGCACUUCUGAACUGACUGAAGAGAUGAGCGGGUGGACCAGGACUUGCGCUCCAGCUGCUCUGCCCGGGCAAGCGAAUUGUGGAGAUGAGGCGGGAGAAGCUGAUGGGUUCCAGAACAAAGUCAGGAAAUGAUUACAGCCUCCUUCUAAGAAAAGUAGCGAUCUUCCAGGCCUGCUUUAGAUAGAUACUCAAGCCAGGACUUAAGCAAUGCUUAGGGAAGCCACAGGACAUCUGACGGUCACGUCUAGGGAUGGACAGAGUGAUCACAGGAGAAAACGGAGAGCAGUGUGCUCAUCAGUUAUAAAGUGGGAAUCAUUUACAUGAGACACAGGAAAGGACUUCCUGCCGGUGGGAAUACUGAGAUGUCAACGGAGUAGAAGGCAGGAGCAUAAAAUCGGCAUGGUAGAUGAAGUGCAUGUUACUUUCAUUUUCUUCGAGGCCAGUGACCCCGAGGCCAAGACACACUGCCUGGUUUCUGUGAGUCUCAUCUUGCUGUAAAUAAAGCCGGAAGUUCACUCCCACUUGAAGAUUCCCAGUGCUAGGAUGUCUCUAUUUCCAGAUCAUUCUCCACUUUCAUCCUGCUCGCUGGCCGUGGGGCUGACUUGAGGACUGUACAAGGGUUCCUGCCCCAGAGCCUGAAGCAUUCCUAUGUUCCCAGGACCUGAAGGGACUGGUGGGGUCGCUAGCCAGCCCAAGAUGGACAUGCAGAGCCCGAUGCCGAUGCCAUUUGCUGUGACUACAGUCUCCCCUGGGUUCAGGUAAACGCUCCAGCACUUUGCAUCUGGUGCUCCCUAGCCCUGCGUAGACAUUAGCAAACAGUUCUUCACCCAGCUUCCCUCAGUUGUUUUUUAAGUGCUGUGCCAUCUGUCUCCAGCUGGAAUACUGACCCCCAGACUCUCUGAACCUGGCUGGAGGAAUUCCCCAAAUUUCAUUCAGUUCGCAUUCUAGUGAAAAGGUUUUGAGCAAGCACUUUGUAACGCUUCAACAAUCAAUACCAAUUCCAGCACGUUCCGCACGCCUGGUAUGCGAGAGGGGCUGCACUGACUGUUGGUGUGAUGUAAUGACAAAAGCAUCCCUUUUGUAACUAUUUUAAAAGCCUUGCUUGCCUGGAAACCGGGGUCCCUUAUGGGAAGCACGUCACCUGAGAUCACAGCAUGGGUGAUUAAAGGAAGAAGACUUAGUCCCAGACGGAUCUCAUGCUAGACGAUUUAAAUAUUCAUUCUAUUGUGGUUAUUUGUUAUUUCAGUUUGGGACAGGAUUUUGUUGGGCAAUUCAAGCUGGCCUCCAACUCACAAUCCCCCUGCCUCAGCCUCCCCAGUGCUGGAAUUACAGGCAUGCACUACCACACUUGACUUUGAAUAUCUAUGUUUUUUGGCCUCUUGGGAACAGCCAUAAUCACAGGGGUAUUCACGAGAAUAAAGAGCUGCUAUACGAGGCUUGAGACAAGCAGGGUCUAGGCAUUGGGGAGAAGAACAGCAGCUCCAGCCAAGAGGUUAGGGUGGCUGGGCUGGGAGGGUAGCAGUGGGGGUGGUAGGAAAAGGCUGAUUUACAUUUGCUUUUAAGAUGGAGUCGACAGGGGACCCCACUGCUCUAUGGAAUGGACAGAAUGGCUAUGGUAAGGCUGAGAAGUCAAUCCCUGCCUUGUAGCCACAAGCUCCUUACCCAAGGAAAACACAAACCACAUCCAUAUAUAUAGCUCAGUGCUCACUUCCCCAACCCAUCAAUAUCCGCCUUGCAUAAGAGACAAACACAGUUUCAUGAAUAAUCAUGACGCUCCAGCCUCCCCUGCAUCCUCUUCUGAUUCAAACCCUGUCUCCCUGAAGGGCUUUGGGGAAGAUAAUUUUUUCAA